GACGAACGCUGGCGGCGUGCUUAACACAUGCAAGUCGAACGGUGAAGCUCCAGCUUGCUGGAGUGGAUCAGUGGCGAACGGGUGAGUAACACGUGAGCAACCUGCCCCUGACUCUGGAAUAAGCGCUGGAAACGGCGUCUAAUACUGGAUACGAGAAGGGUCCGCAUGGGCACUUUCUGGAAAGUUUUUCGGUUGGGGAUGGGCUCGCGGCCUAUCAGCUUGUUGGUGAGGUAAUGGCUCACCAAGGCGACGACGGGUAGCCGGCCUGAGAGGGCGACCGGCCACCCUGGGACGGGGAACCGGCCCAGACCCCGACGGGGGGCAGGGGGGGGGAAUAUUGCAAAAUGGGGGAAGGCCUGAUGCAGGGACGCCGGGGGGGGAAUGGCGGCUUUCGGGUUGUAAACCUUUUUCAGCGGGGAAGAAGGGAAAGUGACGGUACCUGCAGAAGAAGCCCCGGCUAACUACGU
rnacentral:rRNA from 1 species